UGCGGUUCUCAAGAGCAUGGAUUCAUUUGUAAAAUAGGAAACUUCACAGAUGAUAACACAACUUCGUAUACGUUAUGUAACAUAACGGAAACGGAAGCAGAUCAGUCGUCUACUGAUGCAACAGAUGGUGAUACCACUACAACCAUGUCAAAUACAGGCCAGAAAAUGGUGGUAGUAAACAGCACAGAUGAAAGGAUGUAUAUAGCGAUUGGAGCCGGAGCAGGGGGAUUCCUCGUGGUCAUACUAGUCGUCAUAAUCAUCAUUUGCACGUGUCGAAAGAGGU